GAUGAACGCUGGCGGCAUGCCUAACACAUGCAAGUCGAUCGGUAAGGCUCUUCGGAGUACACGAGAGGCGGACGGCUGAGUAACGCGUAGGAACACACCCUGCAGUGAGGGAUAAGACACCGAAAGGUGUUCUAAUACCGCAUACGGUCUUCGGAUUAAAGCAUUUAUGCGCUGAAGGAGUGGCCUGCGUCAUAUUAGAUAGUUGGUGAGGUAAUGGCUCACCAAGUCGAGGAUGUGUAGCUGGUCUGAGAGGAUGAUCAGCCAGACUGGAACUGAGACACGGUCCAGACUCCUACGGGAGGCAGCAGUGAGGAAUAUUUCACAAUGAGCGAAAGCGUGAUGGAGCAAUGCCGCGUGCAGGAUGAAGGCCCUCGGGUUGUAAACUGCUUUUAUAAGAGAAGAUUAUGACGGUAACUUAUGAAUAAGGGACGGCUAACUACGUG
rnacentral:rRNA from 1 species